rnacentral:rRNA from 1 species
UAAGGAAUAUUGGUCAAUGGGCGGAAGCCUGAACCAGCCAUGCCGCGUGAAGGAAGACGGCCUUAUGGGUUGUAAACUUCUUUUGUAGAGGAAAAAAUUAGGGUACGUGUACCUUAUUGCUUGUACUUUACGAAUAAGCAUCGGCUAACUCCGUGCCAGCAGCCGCGGUAAUACGGAGGAUGCGAGCGUUAUCCGGAUUCAUUGGGUUUAAAGGGUGCGCAGGCGGACUAAUAAGUCAGUGGUGAAAUCCCAUAGCUCAACUAUGGAACUGCCAUUGAUACUGUUAGACUAGAGUGUAUUUGACGUAGGCGGAAUGCGACAUGUAGCGGUGAAAUGCUUAGAUAUGUCGCAGAACACCGAUUGCGAAGGCAGCUUACGAAACUACAACUGACGCUCAUGCACGAAAGCGUGGGGAUCAAACAGG